rnacentral:rRNA from 1 species
AGCGAACGCUGGCGGCAGGCCUAACACAUGCAAGUCGAACGGAUCCUUCGGGCUUUGUGGCGGACGGGUGAGUAACACGUGGGAACGUGCCCUUUGGUUCGGAACACCUCAGGGAAACUUGAGCUAAUAAAGGAUGUGCCCUUCGGGGGAAGGAUUUAUCGCCAUUGGAGCGGCCCGCGUCUGAUUAGCUAGUUGGUGAGGUAACAGCCCACCAAGGCGUCGUUCAGUAGCUGGUGUGAGAGGAGGAUCAGCCACGCUGGGGCUGCGACACGGCCCAGACUCCGACGGGAGGCUGCAGUAUGGAAUCUUGCGCAAGGGACGAAGGCCUGACGCAGCCAUGCCGCGUGAAUGAUGAAGCGCGUAGGAUUGUAAAAUUCUUUCAGCGGAGACGUUAGUGACGGUACCCGCAGAAGAAGCUCCGGCUAACUUCGUG